AUUGAACGCUGGCGGCAGGCUUAACACAUGCAAGUCGAGCGGAGCGAGGGUGCUUGCACCUUAGCUUAGCGGCGGACGGGUGAGUAAUGCUUAGGAAUCUGCCUAUUAGUGGGGGACAACAUUCCGAAAGGAAUGCUAAUACCGCAUACGCCCCACGGGGGAAAGCAGGGGAUCUUCGGACCUUGCGCUAAUAGAUGAGCCUAAGUCGGAUUAGCUAGUUGGUGGGGUAAAGGCCUACCGAGGCGACGAUCUGUAGCGGGUCUGAGAGGAUGAUCCGCCACACUGGGACUGAGACACGGCCCAGACUCCUACGGGAGGCAGCAGUGGGGAAUAUUGGACAAUGGGCGGAAGCCUGAUCCAGCCAUGCCGCGUGUGUGAAGAAGGCCUUUUGGUUGUAAAGCACUUUAAGCGAGGAGGAGGCUACUUAGAUUAAUACUCUGGGAUAGUGGACGUUACUCGCAGAAUAAGCACCGGCUAACUCUGUGCCAGCAGCCGCGGUAAAAC
rnacentral:rRNA from 1 species